GCAGGCACUUUCAUCCACAGCGAUUUACAGCACAUUCAGGCUAUACAUUUCUUAACAGUAUGUGUGUUCUCUGGGAAUCAAACCCGUGACCUUUUGUGCUGCUAACACAAUGCUCUACCACUGAGCCACAGGAACACCUUUUUUAUGCCAAAAAUCAUUAGGAUAUUAAGUAAAGAUCAUGUUCCAUGAAGAUAUUUAGUAAAUUUCCUACCAUAAAUAUAUCAAAACUUAAUUUUUGAUUAGUAAUAUGCAUUGCUAAGAAUUCAUUUGAACAACUUUAAAGAUGAUUUUCUCAAUAUUUAGAUUUUUUUGCACCCUCAGAUUCCAGAUUUUUUAAAUAGUUGUAUCUCAGACAAAUAUUGUCCUCCUAACAAACCAUACAUCAAUGGAGAGAUUAUUUAAUCAGAUUUGGAAAAAUGUACACUUAUGACACACAACACAACAUAUAAUGGCACAUCAAAAUGAAAAUGGAAAAUAUAAAAAUAAAUUCUAAGUACUUGUCUGAAUGGUGUUCACAGUUAUGAACUUGUAGUCUGGUUUAUAAACCAGAGAUGUGAAGCUUAUUUUUGAGCACUUUACACGAGAUGUUCAGUAAUCCAGUGAACACUGAUGCUUUCAGCACAGCACACGCGUGCUGCACGCUCUGGACGGGACGGUGGAGCGCUCCGACUCCGGGUUAUGGAUCAACAGUCUGGAUUACAGCGGCAUGCAGCACAUCACGCCUCACAUCCCGCAGAUCAACGACAGCAUCCGCACACGCUGCUCCGAGCAGCUGCCCUACUGCGGCUUCCCAUGGUUCCUGCCGGUCAAGUUCCUGGUCAAGAAGAGCUGGUAUCUUCCUGCUCCUGAAGUCUCUCCUGAAGCUCCGCUGCAGUUCCGGCUCUUAUCCAGACAGGGCACUGAGUGGGGAACCGUUAAAAUGAGCUUCGAGGCCAAAGGUGAGAGGUCAGGGUCAUUUCAUCAUGAACAGAAAUGAUCCUCAUCAAGUGUAGAAUAAUGACUGUUGAUAACCUUAUUCUUCAAAAAAAAAAAAAAAAAAAAAAAAAAAAAAAAAAAAAAAAAAAAUGCACAUCAUAAAACUCAUGUUAGUUUCAAAUAUAAUUUUUUCGUAUAAUUAUUUUUUAAUAUUUGUCAAAAUUAAAAAUAAUAAUCAGUAAUGUCUAAUUUUAUUCUUCAAAAUAUUUUUUUUAAUUACUGAAACUUCUCAGUUUUAAAUGCAUUACAAACAUUUACAGACUCGUUUUAGAGUUGUAUAUUAUAUAUAAAUAUAUAUAAAUAAUUAUAUGCUAAAAAGUGUAAACAUUUGACAUGCA
ensembl:lncRNA